UUUAUAGCUCAUUUCUCGUUUCCGUUAUUUCCAACCGUGCGAUCAUCGACAGAGUUAAACACAUACAUCUGGAAUCACAUGCAUACAGAUGAGUCAUUGACAGGAAGUAAACAUUAAAAACACAAUAUGAAGGAACUUAAGAGGUCGAAAAUAAACAAACAGGAUUAAAUACAAAAUGAAUGCAGGCGAGAGAGUGCAGUUAAUAAAAAGAAAAUUACCAAACAUAUCGCAGACAUUAAUAGUUUUUUUUACUGCUUUCGGUGUUUAGAGGGGAGUCGCCCUGCGUGUGCACGUCAGGUCCGUGCCCAGUCUGACGUCCUCUCCUCGUAGGCGCUGACGUCAUGACGCUGCCAGCUGAUCGGAGUGGGAAACCGGGUGUGUGUCUGACUUGUGUGUGAGUGUGUGUGUGAGAGAGAGAGAGGCAGAUAAGGAGAGAGAGAGAGAGAGAGAGAGAGAGGAGUGGAGCAGGAGUUGGGUAAAAGGGGCUGAAGUCCUGCGUCUUCUUCUCCGCCGCCGCCGCGAGGAAAAGUCGCCUGAGCUCCACAGAUCGAACCCGGGGCCGAACCGUGUGUUACACCGGGAGUCGUUGUGUCGCUGAAACAAACCAACUGACAGCGACACACCCUGCUGGAGCUCCGGGACUCCGCCGAGAGAGCCGGGGCCGAGGAGGAAGCCCCGAACUCCGCCGGGUCCGCUCGGGAUGGGCUGUCCGCUGCCGGAGCGACCCGGCCGCCGGUCAAGGAAUCUGUGAGCAGAGGAAGGGAAGAGGAGUCGUGCCUCGUCCUCCGUCACCCCGGGCUGUCUGCUUCGAGCUCUCACGCUCACUGGCCACCUCCCAGCGCCUCCCAGCACCUCCCCUCGCACCCUCGGCCCCCAAAUGGCUGACGCACAGCAGUUCUUCACUGGCGAGCUUUAUGUUCCCGUACACAUGCUAAAGCUGCCAGCUGAAGAACUGUUCUGGUCAGCCCUGCCCCGGACGACUCGAGGAGAGGAAGCUGACAGCUGAAGGGGGGGGGGACUGAGGAAGGAGGCAGUUUCACAACUCAGUAGUUAAACUGGACUUAUACAACCAUUGUUUAUAUUCUUGUGCUAAUCACACGUAAGGUAUAUUUCACUUUAGUUAAUGUGUCAAACUGGUAAUCUGAUAUUAAAAGCUCUGCAUUUUAUGUACUUAUGUCCUAAAUAUUUACUGUAAUGUACGUUUUCUCAUGUUUUUUGUGUUUUUGGCAAAUAGUCAUUUCAAACCUUCAACAUUCCUCAGCUUAUAACUGAUGAUUUUUAAUGUCCGUCCCUCUGUCUCUUAUUCAUUUGUAUCUUCUGUGAUAAUAAACACGUCUUGAGAAAUCCUAAAUGUGACGUGGUGUGAACUGUGCAGAAACUUUGUUAUUGUUCAUGUUUGUUUUUUUUUGUUGCUUUCAAUAAAGACCAAAAUAUUUCCUCAGACUCUCGGACAAAACUUCAAACAAUGGACAGUUAAAAACAUUGGCAGCGGUGACUCUCUUGACUAGAAAUGAAUAAAACAGAGGCACAAAAAGCCAAAUGAAAAA